AAACGACUCUCGGCAACGGAUAUCUCGGCUCACGCAUCGAUGAAGAACGUAGCAAAAUGCGAUACUUGGUGUGAAUUGCAGAAUCCCGUGAACCAUCGAGUUUUUGAACGCAAGUUGCGCCCGAGGCCAUUCGGCCAAGGGCACGUCUGCCUGGGCGUCACACA
rnacentral:rRNA from 1 species